rnacentral:rRNA from 1 species
UACGGGGGGGGCAAGCGUUGUUCGGAAUUACUGGGCGUAAAGCGUGCGCAGGCAGUUAUGUAAGACAGGUGUGAAAUCCCCAGGCUUAACCUGGGAACUGCAUUCGAGACUGCAUUGCUAGAGUAUGGGAGAGGGAAGUGGAAUUUCCGGUGUAGCGGUGAAAUGCGUAGAUAUCGGAAGGAACAUCAGUGGCGAAAGCGACUUCCUGGACCAAUACUGACGCUCAUGUGCGAAAGCGUGGGGAGCAAACAGG